AGGUAGAUGCACCCUGAUAAUUCCCUGGCCCUUGGGUCGGGGAAUUUUUUU
rnacentral:sRNA from 1 species